rnacentral:rRNA from 1 species
GGUGAAAAGCACCCCGGAAGGGGAGUGAAAUAGAACCUGAAACCGUGUGCUUACAAGUAGUCAGAGCCCGUUAAUGGGUGAUGGCGUGCCUUUUGUAGAAUGAACCGGCGAGUUACGAUUUGAUGCAAGGUUAAGCAGUAAAUGUGGAGCCGUAGCGAAAGCGAGUCUGAAUAGGGCGUUUAGUAUUUGGUCGUAGACCCGAAACCAGGUGAUCUACCCUUGGUCAGGUUGAAGUUCAGGUAACACUGAAUGGAGGACCGAACCGACUUACGUUGAAAAGUGAGCGGAUGAACUGAGGGUAGCGGAGAAAUUCCAAUCGAACCUGGAGAUAGCUGGUUCUCUCCGAAAUAGCUUUAGGGCUAGCCUCAAGUGAUGAUUAUUGGAGGUAGAGCACUGUUUGGACGAGGGGCCCCUCUCGGGUUACCGAAUUCAGACAAACUCCGAAUGCCAAUUAAUUUAACUUGGGAGUCAGAACAUGGGUGAUAAGGUCCGUGUUCGAAAGGGAAACAGCCCAGACCACCAGCUAAGGUCCCAAAAUAUAUGUUAAGUGGAAAAGGAUGUGGCGUUGCCCAGACAACUAGGAUGUUGGCUUAGAAGCAGCCAUCAUUUAAAGAGUGCGUAAUAGCUCACUAGUCGAGUGACACUGCGCCGAAAAUGUACCGGGGCUAAACAUAUUACCGAAGCUGUGGAUUGUCCUUUGGACAAUGGUAGGA